GGAAUUUUGGACAAUGGGCGCAAGCCUGAUCCAGCCAUGCCGCGUGCGGGAAGAAGGCCUUCGGGUUGUAAACCGCUUUUGUCGGGGAAGAAAAGUUCCGGGCUAAUACCCUGGGAUCAUGACGGUACCCGAAGAAUAAGCAACGGCUAACUACGGGCCAGCAGCCGCGGUAAUACGUAGGGUGCAAGAGUUAAUCGGAAUUACUGGGCGUAAAGCGUGCGCAGGCGGUGAUGCAAGACAGAUGUGAAAUCCCCGGGCUCAACCUGGGAACUGCAUUUGUGACUGCAUCGCUGGAGUGCGGCAGAGGGGGAUGGAAUUCCGCGUGUAGCAGUGAAAUGCGUAGAUAUGCGGAGGAACACCGAUGGCGAAGGCAAUCCCCUGGGCCUGCACUGACGCUCAUGCACGAAAGCGUGGGGAGCAAAC
rnacentral:rRNA from 1 species